UACGUAGGGACCAAGCGUUGUUCGGAUUUACUGGGCGUAAAGGGCGCGUAGGCGGCAAUUCAAGUCAUCUGUGAAAUCUCCGGGCUUAACCCGGAACGGUCAGGUGAUACUGUUUUGCUAGAGUGCGGAAGGGGCAAUCGGAAUUCUCGGUGUAGCGGUGAAUGCGUAGAUAUCGAGAGGAACACCAGAGGUGAAGACGGGUUGCUGGGCCGACACUGACGCUGACAGCGCGAAAGCCAGGGGAGCAAACGGG
rnacentral:rRNA from 1 species